AACGUACAUCCGACUAAAGAGUGAAGCCAGGCGAAUCGGAUUAGUCAUUAAUGUGUCGAAGACAAACUAGAUUUAGGUUUGUAGACUUACAAUUUUAGUCCUCACGUGUACAUAUGUUCCCCGUCGUACGAUAACAAUUAGAUGUAGGUUGAUAAUAGCUAUAAGUGUAUUUUAAGUUUUUAUAUAUGUUAAGUUCAAAUUCAAUUCUUUUACUUACAUUAGUGUAUACAGUUUAAGUUUUAAUCGAAUUCAACCAAUAUUAGAAUUUAAGAGAAAAAGAUAAAUUUUAACGUGUUUGUCCA